rnacentral:rRNA from 1 species
AGUGAACGCUGGCGGUAGGCCUAACACAUGCAAGUCGAACGGCAGCACAGUAAGAGCUUGCUCUUACGGGUGGCGAGUGGCGGACGGGUGAGGAAUACAUCGGAAUCUACCUUUUCGUGGGGGAUAACGUAGGGAAACUUACGCUAAUACCGCAUACGACCUACGGGUGAAAGCAGGGGAUCUUCGGACCUUGCGCGAUUGCAUGAGCCGAUGUCGGAUUAGCUAGUUGGCGGGGUAAAGGCCCACCAAGGCGACGAUCCGUAGCUGGUCUGAGAGGAUGAUCAGCCACACUGGAACUGAGACACGGUCCAGACUCCUACGGGAGGCAGCAGUGGGGAAUAUUGGACAAUGGGCGCAAGCCUGAUCCAGCCAUACCGCGUGGGUGAAGAAGGCCUUCGGGUUGUAAAGCCCUUUUGUUGGGAAAGAAAAGCAGCAGGUUAAUACCCCGCUGUUCUGACGGUACCCAAAGAAUAAGCACCGGCUAACUUCGUG